GACGUACCAUAGCUCAGUGUUAGAGCACCUGCUUUGCAUGAUGAAGGUGUCAGGUUCAAGCCCUGGUUUUGGUGUUG